UCCCCUAUAGUGUAAUGGUAGCACUCAGGAUUCUAGACCCUGCAGGUCUCCGUUCGAGUCGGAGUGGGGGUAC
rnacentral:tRNA from 1 species